AUUGAACGCUGGCGGCAGGCCUACCACAUGCAAGUCGAACGAGUGGCGGACGGGUGAGUAAUGUCUGGGAAACUGCCUGAUGGAGGGGGAUAACUACUGGAAACGGUAGCUAAUACCGUAUACCAUCAGAUGUGCCCAGAUGGGAUUAGCUUGUUGGCGGGGUAACGGCUCACUAAGGCGACGAUCCCUAGCUGGUCUGAGAGGAUGAACAGCCACACUGUAACUGAGACACGUUCCAGACUCCUACGGGAGGCAGCAGUGUGGAAUAUUGCACAAUGGGCGCAAGCCUGAUGCAGCCAGGCCGCGUGUAUGAAGAAGGCCGUCGGGUUGUAAAGUACUUUCAGCGGGGAGGCGUUACCCGCAGAAGAAGCACCGGCUAACUCCAGGCCAGCAGCCGCGGUAAUAC
rnacentral:rRNA from 1 species